GUCCAACCAGUCGCAAGACUGGGGAAGACCAAGUGGCGAACGGGUGCGUAACACGUGAGGGACCUGUCCCGGUCUCUGGAAUAACGAGUGGAAACAUUCGCUAAUACCGGAUGCCGUCGGAUCAUCGCAUGGUGAACUGACGAAAGGGCUACCGGAUCGGGAGGGGCUCGCGGCCUAUCAGCUUGUUGGUGAGGUAACGGCUCACCAAGGCGUCGACGGGUAGCUGGUCUGAGAGGAUGAUCAGCCACACUGGGACUGAGACACGGCCCAGACUCCUACGGGAGGCAGCAGUGGGGAAUCUUGCACAAUGGGCGAAAGCCUGAUGCAGCAACGCCGCGUGCGGGAAGAAGGCCUUAGGG
rnacentral:rRNA from 1 species